rnacentral:rRNA from 1 species
AUUGAACGCUGGCGGCAGGCCUAACACAUGCAAGUCGAACGAGUGGCGGACGGGUGAGUAAUGUAUGGGAAACUGCCCGAUGGAGGGGGAUAACUACUGGAAACGGUAGCUAAUACCGCAUACCAUCGGAUGUUCCCCGAUGGGAUUAGCUAGUAGGUGGGGUAACGGCUCACCUAGGCGAAGAUCCCUAGCUGUUCGGGGAGGAUGACCAGCCACCCUGUAACUGAGACACGGUCCAGACUCCUACGGGAGGCAGCAGUGGGUGAUAUUGCACAAUGGGCGCAAGCCUGAUGCAGCCAUGCCGCGUGUAUGAAGAAGGCCUUCGGGUUGUAAAGUACUUUCAGCGAGGAGGCGUUACUCGCAGAAGAAGCACCGGCGAACUCCGUGCCAGCCGCCGCGGUAAUUC